CCUGGACACCUGCUUGUCAGGCGAUGCUGUUUACUCUGGAGGGAGUGACGGUGACUUGUGUAUCGCUGGGCAUCCCUGGGGACGUAGCUCAUCCGGGUUCCUAUCCCACAUAAGGCGACGCCUACGGUUUCUGACGAAAAGGGGUAUGCUCUGCUGGAUCCAGAGGGAGGACUGCUUCCACCAGGAGAGACAAUUGAACUAAAUUCCAUUGAACUAGAAGUUAAGACUGCCAUCCAACCACUUUGGGCUCCCCUCAUGCCUCUGAGUCAACAGGCCAAUAAGGGAGUUAUGGUGUUGGCUGGGGACUACCAUGACAACCAUGGGGAAAUCUGACAUAAAAGAGAAGCAACUAUCAACAUACUAUGAAGUAGCACAAGGCCUUCACCAGAUACAGUCGCCCAAUCUUGGACCAUCCAGCCCCGAGAACCAUAAGCUAAAUAAAC